CCUAUAAGACGAUUUAAACUUGGAAAAGGCUAGACUUUUCACUCAAUUAGGGCAAGAAUUCUUCAAAAGAGGCUUGCUUUUCUCAGUGUUUUAUGGACUCAGUUGAUUGAUUGAAUCCUUAGUCGACCAUAGAUUGUUUCUACAAUCUGCUAAGCUUUUUGCUGCCGUCACCAGCUACCUUUUUUCCUUUUCCUUGGUUUGCAACUUUUGAUCUGAGAGUGCCUGCCAGUUAAUUUUAACCAGUGAAUGUAUAUUUACAGUUUUUAUGCUUUUCCAGAUAUGUAUUGAGAUCCAAUAUUUCUUUUCUUUCUUUUGUGGGUGUGAUCUAAUUAUUAAUGUCCAUUAUCCUGAGGUCACUAUUUUAGAAGAAUCCACUGUGUUUAGUUUCCUCUUGUAAUUUGAGAGUGGAAAGAUCUAACCUUUUUUCACAGGUGUUGUAGAUUAUUUUUUCUCGAGAACAAACUCCUCACAAUUAAGCAUCAUGACAAGUAAGUCUUCCUAUUUUCAUGUGAUGCCACAUUACACUUAAUGGUUUAUGACAUUUAUAAUCACUGCAAAAUCCUGCGUCAUAAAAAAACAGUUGUGAAUUACUGAUCUAGGAUGCAAUUUACCCUAUCUCUGACUAGGAUUUAUACAAGAUAUUAAAGAGUAAGGGGAAAAGUAUCUUUUCUCCUAAAAAUUUUCUAUAAAAAAGUUCUUUCUCGUAAAAAUUCCCUUUCCUUUCUAACUUAGAAAGUAUAGUUGUUUUCUCUUCCUGACCCUUCGGCAAGCCGUGUUGUCUGUUCAUUGGAUUGAUGUUUGAUAGCUUUUCCUUCUCCCCAACCUCUGUCAUCUCUCUCUAUUUUGAGUUCCCACUCUCACUUUUUAGGCUUCACUUACCUCUUAGAGAAGAUCAGUCUCCAGUUUCACUUGUCAAGUCAGGAUAGCCGUCGCUACCUUGAUUAGAACCAAGGCCCAAGCUGGUGUGAAUUUAGAGGGUUAAAGAUCAAAUAACUAAAGUUUGCACGCGACUGGUAGAGUCUUACAACAUCAGAAAGAGGUUGUGAUGCUAUGCAUCAGCCAGUGAUAGAGAAAAUUAACCACAUGUCCAAAUCCAGUCACGCUUUAGAUAGAGAUAUAUGAUGUUUAUCCCCCGAAAAAAAUGAUAUAGAUAUGUGUGAUUUCUGAUGCGAGGUUUUAGGAUUAAGCAAAGGCUAAAUCCUUACCUAUCUUCUAAAAGCUAUUAAAUGAAAUCCUAAUGAUUACUUGAAAGAAGGGCGUUGAGUUAAAUUUACAUCAGAAAAGAAGAGGAGCAGGUAGAACACUUUUUAACUUGUUCACAUUAAAAAAGGGAAAAGAAAAAAGAGUGAAUAUAUUGCUCAAAGCUUUUCUGGACUAAAGAAAACCCAAUAAUUACAGGUGAGAGGUUGAAGAAUAUAGUUGGGUCUCAGAGAGCACUAAUUCUGAAUCAUCAUCUCUGUAUAUUAGGCUUGAAUCCAACAUUUGGAACUUAAAUUAAACCCUUUAUGGGGCUCCAGGCAUAAUGAGGCUAAUGGCCCUAGUGAAUUGGAUUUUUUGCUCAGGUGGGCAAGCUGAGCAUGCAUUUUGUUAAAAGAUUGAAAAGUAUGUUGUCGCUGCACUUCUCGUUUCGUUAGUACGUACUUUUACAUUUCAAUUCAUCUGCUUCAAGAAUUCUUGCCUGCACUCAUCUUGUCAUCAUGAUACCAGUACUCAAUCGUGUUGCCUGUGGGUUGAAGAUUGUUUCAAAGCAUAUAGCUAGUGGGUUGAACCACAAAUUCCAACAAUCCAUUGUCCGAAUGGCUUAGAGAAAGCAAGCUAAAAAGAUGGCCAAAGUUGUUCAUGUUGACAAGGAGGAGCCCUGAACUCUAACUGUAUUCCUUCGCAUCAAGCUGCCAAUCUUUUCUUUUUCUAGAAUGCCAUUGAAUUUAUUUAUUUUACCAUUUUUCUUUAUUUAGAUUGUAGGUUUGUCAUCAAUGUAUGAAUAUAUACAACGUAUAGAGCAUCACAAGGACCUAAUGGCCAUACCGGAAGGAUGCAAAGGUAAAGCAAGAACUCUGAUCUUUUGCAUCUCCAGCUUAUGCUUCGUUAGAGAUGGAUCAUGUUGGAAAGCACAUGUUACUUUGAUCUCUAAGUUUCAUAAUUGUGGCAGGGAGUAGAAUAAAAUGAUUCUUAUGUUUGCAACUUUA